GAAGAAAUGACAUCAAAGAUGUACAAAGUUAUCAUCAGAAAAACAAUGAAGGCCAGGUGCGGUGGCUCAUGCCUAUAAUCCCAGCAAUCUCAUCUCUACAAAAAAUAAAAAAUCAAAAAUCAGCCAGAUAUGGGAUCUUGCUAUGUUGCCCAGGCUGGUCUCAAACUCCUAGCACCAAGCAACCCUCCUGCCUCAGCCUCCCAAAUUCCUAGGAUUACAGGCACAUCACAGCCUUCUUGCUCUUAGGAACACUAGCCAGCACGAAAUCACUGUGCUUGGGGCCUUUUCAACAGCAAAAUCAACAGGAAGCACAAAAAUGUGGCAAAAUGACACUAACUAGACCAUGCUAAGGAAGCUUGUUCACAGCGUGAGCCAAAACAAGAAGGCCGAGCAUCGCCUUGUUCCACCUCAGCUGGGAACGUGCAUUUGAGCAACUCAAAUCUUGUGUCACUCAUGCAUGCCUGUGAAUUACCUCAAAAGCACUGUCUCCAAGGAAUGCUGUUUCCUGCCUGUCGUGAGAGACACAAAGUGAACUUAGUGUUGGGAGAUGGAAGCUGGAUGGCUCUCAGGGGCUGACCCGCAGGGUGCCGGACUUCGGGAUAUAGCAGAGAGAGCUUGGCAUGACUUAUUACUCCAGGCUGUAGAAUCCUGGAAAAGAGCUACCAUGCAGCCUACGCCUGGUCAACUGGAGGACCACCUUAGUGGAAACGAGACAAUCUGGGCCUCUGGCCUGCCAUGUGCACAAGAAUAACAAUUGCUUUUGUUUAACAUGCAGAAGGAAUAUUUGAUCAAUUUUAACCAGCUGCAGGCCUGAGUGGACUGCUCCCGGGAAGCCACUUUCAUGGCGUCCCCUCU
rnacentral:lncRNA from 1 species